UACGUAGGUGGCAAGCGUUGUCCGGAUUUACUGGGCGUAAAGAGCGCGCAGGCGGCUGGUCAAGUCCGAUGUGAAAGCUCCCGGCUUAACUGGGGAGGGUCACGCGAUACUGAUCGACUCGAAGGCAGGAGAGGGUAGUGGAAUUCCCGGUGUAGUGGUGGAAUGCGUAGAGUAUCGGGGGGAAUACCAGUGGCGAAAGCGGCACCCUAGCGUUAGCCUGACGCUCAUGUGCGAAAGCGUGGGGAGCAAACGGG
rnacentral:rRNA from 1 species